rnacentral:rRNA from 1 species
GUGACCUCAAAUCAGGUAGGACUACCCGCUGAACUUAAGCAUAUCAAUAAGCGGAGGAAAAGAAACUAACAAGGAUUCCCCUAGUAACUGCGAGUGAAGCGGGAAAAGCUCAAAUUUAAAAUCUGUCAGUCUUUUGGCUGUCCGAGUUGUAAUCUAGAGAAGUGUUAUCCGCGCUGGACCGUGUACAAGUCUCCUGGAAUGGAGCG